UACCAGCACCCGAGUGGUCGGGACGUUUAUUGGGCCUAAAGCAUCCGUAGCCGGUUCUACAAGUCUUCCGUUAAAUCCACCUGCUUAACAGAUGGGCUGCGGAAGAUACUAUGGAGCUAGGAGGCGGGAGAGGCAAGCGGUACUCGAUGGGUAGGGGUAAAAUCCGUUGAAUCCAUUGAAGACCACCAGUGGCGAAGGCGGCUUGCCAGAACGCGCUCGACGGUGAGG
rnacentral:rRNA from 1 species